CCGGCAGUAAGGGAGGGAUUUGAAGGGGUACAUUUUUCGUGAGAAGUAAUCCAUUUUCAUUUCUUCAAAAAAUAUUUUUUCUUUCCUUGUAAAUUUUUUCAGUAUAAAUGUUGGUCUUUGAUUGCUCUAUUUGGUUUGCUUCAAUGAUUUUAACCUUUAGGUCGAUGACAUGUUGAUAAAGAUUAUCUCUUCUUUUUUUUUGACUUUG
rnacentral:lncRNA from 1 species